rnacentral:rRNA from 1 species
UACGUAGGGUGCGAGCAUUGUCCGGAAUUACUGGGCGUAAAGAGCUCGUAGGUGGUUUGUCGCGUUGUUCGUGAAAACCGGGGGCUUAACCCUCGGCGUGCGGGCGAUACGGGCAGACUGGAGUACUGCAGGGGAGACUGGAAUUCCUGGUGUAGCGGUGGAAUGCGCAGAUAUCAGGAGGAACACCGGCGGCGAAGGCGGGUCUCUGGGCAGUAACUGACGCUGAGGAGCGAAAGCGUGGGGAGCGAACAGG